UUCGCCCAUAUCACAUUGAAACACCAGUUCCUGUACGAUUAAGGAAGUUAAGCAACGUCUAGUCUGGUCAGUACCUCGAUGGAUAACCGCUUGCGAAUACCAGGCGUUGUAAG